rnacentral:rRNA from 1 species
GGCUUAGAGUUUGAUCAUGGCUCAGGAUGAACGCUGGCGGCGUGCCUAACACAUGCAAGUCGAACGGGGUUAUUUAGGAAUGUUCCUUCGGGGACAGGAAUUCUUAACCUAGUGGCGGACGGGUGAGUAACGCGUGAGCAAUCUGCCUUUAGGAGGGGGAUAACAGUCGGAAACGGCUGCUAAUACCGCAUGAUACACUGAGAAGGCAUCUUCUUGGUGUCAAAGAUUUUAUUGCCUUUAGAUGAGCUCGCGUCUGAUUAGCUGGUUGGCGGGGUAACGGCCCACCAAGGCGACGAUCAGUAGCCGGACUGAGAGGUUGAACGGCCACAUUGGGACUGAGACACGGCCCAGACUCCUACGGGAGGCAGCAGUGGGGAAUAUUGCGCAAUGGGGGCAACCCUGACGCAGCAACGCCGCGUGAUUGAAGAAGGCCUUCGGGUUGUAAAGAUCUUUAAUCAGGGACGAAACAUGACGGUACCUGAAGAAUAAGCUCCGGCUAACUACGUGCCAGCAGCCGCGGUAAUACGUAGGGAGCAAGCGUUAUCCGGAUUUACUGGGUGUAAAGGGCGCGCAGGCGGGCCGGCAAGUUGGGAGUGAAAUCCGGGGGCUUAACCCCCGAACUGCUUUCAAAACUGCUGGUCUUGAGUGAUGGAGAGGCAGGCG